GACGAACGCUGGCGGCGUGCUUAACACAUGCAAGUCGAACGGAAAGGCCCUGCUUUUGUGGGGUGCUCGAGUGGCGAACGGGUGAGUAACACGUGAGUAACCUGCCCUUGACUUUGGGAUAACUUCAGGAAACUGGGGCUAAUACCGGAUAGGAGCUCCUGCUGCAUGGUGGGGGUUGGAAAGUUUCGGCGGUUGGGGAUGGACUCGCGGCUUAUCAGCUUGUUGGUGGGGUAGUGGCUUACCAAGGCUUUGACGGGUAGCCGGCCUGAGAGGGUGACCGGCCACAUUGGGACUGAGAUACGGUCCAGACUCCUACGGGAGGCAGCAGUGGGGAAUAUUGCACAAUGGGCGGAAGCCUGAUGCAGCAACGCCGCGUGCGGGAUGACGGCCUUCGGGUUGUAAACCGCUUUCGCCUGUGACGAAGCGUGAGUGACGGUAAUGGGUAAAGAAGCACCGGCUAACUACGUG
rnacentral:rRNA from 1 species